rnacentral:rRNA from 1 species
AUUGAACGCUGGCGGCAGGCUUAACACAUGCAAGUCGAGCGGGGUGAUGGUGCUUGCACUAUCACUUAGCGGCGGACGGGUGAGUAAUGCUUAGGAAUCUGCCUAUUAGUGGGGGACAACAUCUCGAAAGGGAUGCUGAUACCGCAUACGUCCUACGGGAGAAAGCAGGGGAUCACUUGUGACCUUGCGCUAAUAGAUGAGCCUAAGUCGGAUUAGCUAGUUGGUGGGGUAAAGGCCUACCAAGGCGACGAUCUGUAGCGGGUCUGAGAGGAUGAUCCGCCACACUGGGACGGAGACACGGCCCAGGCUCCUACGGGAGGCAGCAGUGGGGAAUAUUGGACAAUGGGGGGAACCCUGAUCCAGCCAUGCCGCGUGUGUGAAGAAGGCCUUAUGGUUGUAAAGCACUUUAAGCGAGGAGGAGGCUCUGUUGGUUAAUACCCAAGAUGAGUGGACGUUACUCGCAGAAUAAGCACCGGCUAACUCUGUGCCAGCCGCCGCAGUAA